rnacentral:rRNA from 1 species
GACAGAGGGUGCAAACGUUGCUCGGAAUUACUGGGCGUAAAGCGCGUGUAGGUGGUUUCGCAAGUCGGGUGUGAAAGCCCAGGGCUCAACCCUGGAAGUGCACUUGAUACUACGGAGCUGGAGUCUUGAAGAGGAGAGCGGAAUUCCCGGUGUAGAGGUGAAAUUCGUAGAUAUCGGGAGGAACACCAGUGGCGAAGGCGGCUCUCUGGGCAAUGACUGACACUGAGACGCGAAAGCGUGGGUAGCAAACAGG